rnacentral:rRNA from 1 species
UAAUGUAUGGGGAUCUGCCCGAUAGAGGGGGAUAACUACUGGAAACGGUGGCUAAUACCGCAUAAUGUCUACGGACCAAAGCAGGGGCUCUUCGGACCUUGCACUAUCGGAUGAACCCAUAUGGGAUAGCUAGUAGGUGGGGUAAAGGCUCACCUAGGCGACGAUCUCUAGCUGGUCUGAGAGGAUGAUCAGCACACUGGGACUGAGACACGGCCCAG